rnacentral:rRNA from 1 species
CGUAGGGUGCAAGCGUUAAUCGGAAUUACUGGGCGUAAAGCGUGCGCAGGCGGUUAUGUAAGACAGAUGUGAAAUCCCCGGGCUCAACCUGGGAACUGCAUUUGUGACUGCAUAGCUAGAGUACGGUAGAGGGGGAUGGAAUUCCGCGUGUAGCAGUGAAAUGCGUAGAUAUGCGGAGGAACACCGAUGGCGAAGGCAAUCCCCUGGACCUGUACUGACGCUCAUGCACGAAAGCGUGGGGAGCAAACAGGAUUAGAUACCCUGGUAGUCCACGCCCUAAACGAUGUCAACUGGUUGUUGGGUCUUCACUGACUCAGUAACGAAGCUAACGCGUGAAGUUGACCGCCUGGGGAGUACGGCCGCAAGGUUG